AUUGACAUCAUGGUGUUAGUUAACACAGGAGAGAUUUAGACACACCACAUUAUAUAAUUAUUGACAUCAUGGUGUUAUUAACACAGGAGAGAUUUAGACACACCACAUUAUAUAAUUAUUGACAUCAUGGUGUUAGCAAACAGAGAGAUUUAGAAACACCACAUUAUAUAAUUAUUGACAUCUUGGUGUUAGUAGACAGAGAGAUUUAGACACACCACAUUAUAUAAUUAUUGACAUCAUGGUGUUAGUUAACACAGGAGAGAUUUAGACACACCACAUUAUAUAAUUAUUGACAUCAUGGUGUUAGUAAACAGAGAUAUUUAGACACACCACAUUAUAUAAUAAUUGACAUCAUGGUGUUAGCAAACAGAGAGAUUUAGACACACCACAUUAUAUAAUUAUUGACACCAUGGUGUUAGUAAACAGAGAGAUAUAGACACACCACAUUAUAUAAUAAUUGACAUCAUGGUGUUAGUAAACAGAGAGAUUUAGACACACCACAUUAUAUAAUUAUUGACAUCUUGGUGUUAGUAAACACAGGAGAGAUUUAGACACACCACAUUAUAUAAUUAUUGACAUCAUGGUGUUAGUAAACAGAGAGAUUUAGACACACCACAUUAUAUAAUUAUUGACAUCAUGGUGUUAGCAAACAGAGAUUUAGACACACCACAUUAUAUAAUUAUUGACAUCUUGGUGUUAGUAAACAGAGAGAUAUAGACACACCACAUUAUAUAAUUAUUGACAUCAUGGUGUUAGUAAACACAGCAGAGAUUUAGACACACCACAUUAUAUAAUUAUUGACAUCAUGGUGUUAGUAAACAGAGAGAUUUAGACACACCACAUUAUAUAAUUAUUGACAUCAUGGUGUUAGUAAACAGAGAGAUAGACACACCACAUUAUAUAAUAAUUGACAUCAUGGUGUUAGUAAACAGAGAGAUUUAGACACACCACAUUAUAUAAUUAUUGAUAUCUUGGUGUUAGUAGACAGAGAGAUAGACACACCACAUUAUAUAAUUAUUGACAUCAUGGUGUUAGUAAACAGAGAGAUUUAGACACACCACAUUAUAUAAUAAUUGACAUCAUGGUGUUAGUAAACAGAGAGAUUUAGACACACCACAUUAUAUAAUUAUUGACAUCUUGGUGUUAGUAAACAGAGAGAUAUAGACACACCACAUUAUAUAAUUAUUGACACCAUGGUGUUAGUUAACACAGGAGAGAUUUAGACACACCACAUUAUAUAAUUAUUGACAUCAUGGUGUUAGUAAACAGAGAGAUAGACACACCACAUUAUAUAAUAAUUGACAUCAUGGUGUUAGUAAACAGAGAGAUUUAGACACACCACAUUAUAUAAUUAUUGACAUCUUGGUGUUAGUAAACAGAGAGAUAUAGACACACCACAUUAUAUAAUUAUUGACAUCAUGGUGUUAGUAAACACAGCAGAGAUUUAGACACACCACAUUAUAUAAUUAUUGACAUCAUGGUGUUAGUAAACACAGGAGAGAUAUAGACACACCACAUUAUAUAAUUAUUGACAUCAUGGUGUUAGUAAACAGAGAGAUUUAGACACACCACAUUAUAUAAUUAUUGACAUCAUGGUGUUAGUAAACAGAGAGAUAGACACACCACAUUAUAUAAUUAUUGACAUCAUGGUGUUAGUAAACAGAGAGAUAUAGACACACCACAUUAUAUAAUAAUUGACAUCAUGGUGUUAGCAAACAGAGAGAUUUAGACACACCACAUUAUAUAAUUAUUGACAUCAUGGUGUUAGUAAACAGAGAGAUUUAGACACACCACAUUAUAUAAUUAUUGACAUCAUGGUGUUAGUAAACAGAGAGAUUUAGACACACCACAUUAUAUAAUUGUUGACAUCAUAGUGUUAGUAAACAGAGAGAUUUAGACACACCACAUUAUAUAAUUAUUGACAUCUUGGUGUUAGUAAACAGAGAGAUUUAGACACACCACAUUAUAUAAUUAUUGACAUCAUGGUGUUAGUUAACACAGGAGAGAUUUAGACACACCACCUUAUAUAAUUAUUGACAUCAUGGUGUUAGUAAACAGAGAGAUUUAGACACACCACAUUAUAUAAUUAUUGACAUCAUGGUGUUAGUUAACACAGGAGAGAUUUAGACACACCACAUUAUAUAAUUAUUGACAUCAUGGUGUUAGUAAACAGAGAGAUUUAGACACACCACAUUAUAUAAUAAUUGACAUCAUGGUGUUAGUAAACACAGGAGAGAUUCGCUCUGUCAUGACAAGGAAGGCCAGAACUUAGUGAUCGGGUAGACAGUUAUAUAAUGAAUAAAUGUAUAACAUUAUUUCCA